GUGUGAUAAGGCAAUCUCCAUAAGAUCAACACUUUGUAUCACGAAGCCGCGUCUCCUCAGAGAAUAACAAGCUGUGUGAGCUAUGGUUAAAACUUGCUGCUGGGUCUAUCUUGCUAGUUUAGGGCUGGUGAUCACAGUAUCAAGUAUCAGGCACCAAAAUAUAUCACAAAGGCCGCAAAGACAGUUCAUUGUGUGUGUUGUAUCUCAUUCUGCAAAGACAGUGAACAUGUAAUCCUAUAGUUUGACACCGUACACAUCGUUUCACCAUUACCAUAGUAUCCUCUUCCAUUGUAUAAUUUUGUACAUUACAAAUCAUGUGUUCUGUCAUGAAUAAUAACGUGUUUAUGUAAAUUAA